GAUGAACGCUGGCGGCGUGCUUAACACAUGCAAGUCGAACGGAAAGGCUCCUGCUUGCAGGGGUACUCGAGUGGCGAACGGGUGAGUAACACGUGGGUGAUCUGCCCUGCACUUCGGGAUAAGCCUGGGAAACUGGGUCUAAUACCGGAUAGGACGAUGGCUUGGAUGCCAUUGUGGAAAGUUUUUCGGUGUGGGAUGAGCUCGCGGCCUAUCAGCUUGUUGGUGGGGUAAUGGCCUACCAAGGCGUCGACGGGUAGCCGGCCUGGGGGGGGGUCCGGCCAAAUUGGGACGGGGAUACGGCCCGGACUCCUACGGGAGGAGGCAGGGGGGAAUAUUGCACAAUGGGCGCAAGCCUGAUGCAGCGACGCCGCGUGGGGGAUGACGGCCUUCGGGUUGUAAACGCCUUUCGCUAGGAACGAAGCGCAAGUGACGGUACCUGGAGAAGAAGCACCGGCUAACUACGUG
rnacentral:rRNA from 1 species